rnacentral:rRNA from 1 species
CCGGAGCUUGCUCCACCGGAAAAAGAGGAGUGGCGAACGGGUGAGUAACACGUGGGUAACCUGCCCAUCAGAAGGGGAUAACACUUGGAAACAGGUGCUAAUACCGUAUAACAAUCGAAACCGCAUGGUUUUGAUUUGAAAGGCGCUUUCGGGUGUCGCUGAUGGAUGGACCCGCGGUGCAUUAGCUAGUUGGUGAGGUAACGGCUCACCAAGGCCACGAUGCAUAGCCGACCUGAGAGGGUGAUCGGCCACAUUGGGACUGAGACACGGCCCAAACUCCUACGGGAGGCAGCAGUAGGGAAUCUUCGGCAAUGGACGAAAGUCUGACCGAGCAACGCCGCGUGAGUGAAGAAGGUUUUCGGAUCGUAAAACUCUGUUGUUAGAGAAGAACAAGGAUGAGAGUAACUGUUCAUCCCUUGACGGUAUCUAACCAGAAAGCCACGGCUAACUACGUGCCAGCAGCCGCGGUAAUACGUAGGUGGCAAGCGUUGUCCGGAUUUAUUGGGCGUAAAGCGAGCGCAGGCGGUUUCUUAAGUCUGAUGUGAAAGCCCCCGGCUCAACCGGGGAGGGUCAUUGGAAACUGGGAGACUUGAGUGCAGAAGAGGAGAGUGGAAUUCCAUGUGUAGCGGUGAAAUGCGUAGAUAUAUGGAGGAACACCAGUGGCGAAGGCGGCUCUCUGGUCUGUAACUGACGCUGAGGCUCGAAAGCGUGGGGAGCAAACAGGAUUAGAUACCCUGGUAGUCCACGCCGUAAACGAUGAGUGCUAAGUGUUGGAGGGUUUCCGCCCUUCAGUGCUGCAGCUAACGCAUUAAGCACUCCGCCUGGGGAGUACGACCGCAAGGUUGAAACUCAAAGGAAUUGACGGGGGCCCGCACAAGCGGUGGAGCAUGUGGUUUAAUUCGAAGCAACGCGAAGAACCUUACCAGGUCUUGACAUCCUUUGACCACUCUAGAGAUAGAGCUUCCCCUUCGGGGGCAAAGUGACAGGUGGUGCAUGGUU